AAAGCAGGUGAAGAAUAUUCAUGUGAUGUGGCAGGACCACUUGAUACUUCUGCAAGAGGGCAUAAGUAUUUUUUGGUAUGUGUGGACAAUGCAGGUGGUGAUACCAAAGUGUAUCCCAUCAAAAUGGCAACAGGGAGGAUAAUUACGGAAAGGUUGGCAAAUUUUUUCACUGGUCGGCCAGGAAGUUUGGGUUAAUAGGGGCCGCAAAAUACAGGGGGAAGGAAUCAGACAUCCGAACGAAGGAAAAAGACGGAGGGCGGCAGGUGGACAUUGGGGAGCCAGGAGAGGAGACCAUCCGGGUCUCUUUGUUUUUUGCGAGCUACAG
ensembl:lncRNA